GAACGCUGGCGGCGUGCCUAACACAUGCAAGUCAACUUGACUGAAGGAGCAAUCUGACAGUAGAGUGGCGCAAGGGUGCGUAACGCGUAAGUAACUUGCCCAAGGUAAGGAAUAACGUCGAGAAAUCGGCGCUAAUACCUCAUAAUGCAGCGGAUCCGCAUGGAUAUGUUGUUAAAGGUUUACCGCCUUGGGAUAGGCUUGCGUCUGAUUAGCUAGUUGGUGUGGUAACGGCACACCAAGGCUACGAUCAGUAACUGGUCUGAGAGGAUGAUCAGUCACACUGGAACUGAGACACGGUCCAGACUCCUACGGGAGGCAGCAGUGAGGAAUAUUGGGCAAUGCUCGAAAGAGUGACCCAGCAACGCCGCGUGGAGGAUGAAGGUGUUCUAUAUCGUAAACUCCUGUGAGAGCAGACGAAAGACAGAUUAUUAAUCUGGAUGACUGUAUGCUCAGAGGAAGCCCCGGCUAACUACGUG
rnacentral:rRNA from 1 species